ensembl:lncRNA
CUGGGAAGAUGAUGAUCAUCAGUGGGUACGUGCAGUCUCUGCACUAUAUUCCCAACUUCGUUACAUUUUCACUAAUAGGGCUCGCAGGACGCCGCCGUGGCCAGAUGCAGCUAUUGAUGCAUGUCCUAGUGUUGAUUUUUUUUUUAAUUGGAUGAAGAGAUUUGAUAUUAAGAACUAUGGUUACUCUCUUUGCCUUUUCGAGGUGGGUUUUAUGAAAUGUUACUUCACUCUUCGCACCGAUUCUUUCCUAAAAAGGAGACACUUGGCCCGAGGUGCUGUUUAACAGUGCUUGGAUACCCAUGCUGCUCCAGCUGAAGUUGUCUUUUAUUUUGCUGAAGAAACAGAGGAGAAGACUGAGCCAUUUGUCUCCUCUAUUAGGAACUUCUCUGUGACUUUUUAUUGUUGCUAUUGUUGAGCGAGCCCAAACAGCGAGAAACAAUCUGGAAAUUGCAAUUGUCGCUGGAUGCUGUGUCAAAGAAGAGCCCAUCAAUCUCAGAAGAAAUUUUAAGGGAACAGGUUUUUCAUGCCUCUGCGCUGGUAGGAAGCCAAGAGUGUGUUGCCAUUUGAUGGUAAAAUCAGUGUACACCUGUUCCAACCAGCUGGCAACAUAACCUAUGUCAGAGGGAGAUGUCACAGCCCAAACUGCCGCCGGCGGCUGCGUGACAGCCAGGGACGACAGAGAAAGGAACUUGGGGACCGAAAGAGGAGGAGACUGCAGUGCCAUUUCAGGGACACAGAUGUGUGAAGAGUGUGAUAAAAGAAGGAAACAUCGGAGGGAAUAAGCUCAAACAAAAAAGCAAAUGUCAUUUGCAUGAUGUAAUUAUGGACGGCCAUUGACUGCAUCGUAAUAACACUCAGUAGGGCAAUGUUAAGCCUACUGUGAGUGCUAAAAAGGCCUCAGCUUGAAAAAAGGCUGAGGAGCCUCCAUACCAAGGUGCACACACACAACAGAUCACUCUGUGGUUGCAGGUAUAAACAAGCUGAGCUGAUGGAGUAUCUCUACGAACUGGAGAGGAUGUGCCUGGCAGGGUCUGCAGGUACUUGAGUGAACAGCAGCAGCUCUCAUAAAGAUUACCUGUGGGAUAAAUGGAUGCAGUGGGAGGAAAAAGGCUCCGGGUGUGACCAACAACGUACAUCUGUGGCACGCGAGCUGCUGGGUUUCAAUAUUCCUCAUCCAUUUGUAUUGCAGCGUUAGGUUUACUGGCCCUGCUAAACACCUGGGCACCUGCCUGCACCGGUGGUAGAAGCAGACUGUUGUCAGAUCUGUUACAGACAAUCAAGUGAUGGUUACAAGACAAAAUACGGUAAAACAAAUAGUUCUUAAUGCUGCGCAACCACCUCUUGUUUCAUCCAAACAACGUCUGUUUGGUUAUUUCCUUACGGUCGAAUGCCUUCUCCCUGGGCAGACAGCAGAAGUCUCUUUUUACCUCGGUAAUUAGCUUGUUUGAAAGCUCCCACAAAUUCUUCCUAUCAUAAAUUUUGCAUUGCUCCACGCACAAUAAUGCACAUAAAAUUAAAUAAACAAUUUAAUUAAUUUGAUUAAAAUUAAAUAUUAAACAUAUUGUGUAUAAGAAGCCCGUGUCUUUGAUUUAAUUGGGCAGGAGUACCCAAAGCAGUUUGGGUAACAGUGAAAAAUAAUUAAAAACAACAAGUACGGUCGCCUCUGGGUACGAAGAGUAGUUGGGAGCUUUCUCCUGAGAAAGGUUUAUUUAAUUAAAACUAAACUAAUCUUUGGAAAACACUUGAUAAGCAUUUCAUAAUACAAAUCAUAAUCCAAAAAUGAAGCUUAUACUUCGCCUACGUGAUACAGGAAAAUAACAUUAAAUAAUUCAGUUCUGCCACCAGCCACUUUCCUAGCACAGAAUAAUUCAGCAGAGAGCAUGUUUACCACCUUUACAUUUUCUGUACUGUUUAGUUCAUCUGGAUAUUUAUUGGUAAAUUAUAGGAAGGCAUAAUGGGUCCGUGAGCGAUAAGGCUGAGGGUUAAUGCUCUAUUUGGACUGGUUAUUGCCUCUCGUAGCUGUGACACCAGGCUGGCAUCGAAUCCCCAACCAGUUCUUGAAUGACACCUUUCCAAGGUAGAGAAUAUUACUUCCAGCAUCUCCCACCACCAGAGUAGGAAUGGAUUAUUUAUAAGGUGGUGUCUCUAUCAAUACAUCCUGCUGCCGAAUGAUUGCAUUUCUGAUACCGUGCGGUGAGCACUGCAGCUCUCUGCAACAUUUGGACCCUUCCCAACGUGGCCAACCACGGCCAGGCACCCAGCUGGCUGCCCUGCACUGACGGGUUUAUAGGGCAUCUCAAAAACAAAUGCUUCAUUCUGACACCUGGACAGCAGCAGACUCUCCAACAAACUCCAACAGGGCACUGAUGUCAAGCGGAUCUCUAAAAAACGAUUGUGCCCAAAGAGAUCCUAAUUGACGCUCUCAAGCAAGUGCCCUGCAUAACUGAGUGUCCCUCAAGUUGCACAGAGCAGCUUUAAAGGGAUCGUAUAAUUUUGGUGACCUCAGAGUACGAUGCCAGUGGGCUCCAGCACGUGGAUGGACACGGCCCCUUCUGCUGCCUGGAUCUGCUGGGCAACCCAGGUUGUGCUUUGUGAGAGUUUUUCCUGGGAAGAGGCUGUUAGCCGAUGCGGAGUUUCUUCAGUUCCUCUCCCACCCCCAGCUUUGAGCAGAGGACGCAGCGAUUUAUCAGGAGUUUCUGCCUAACAGAGGUACAAAGGGGCCCUGUACGGGGUGUGGGAAUUUCCCGCAUGUUGAUGAACCUCCUACUGUAAAAGACUGUAGACCAAAUCCUUCAGUCCUCACACAGACAAAAGUCCACAUCGACUUCCCCCAAAUCUCCCUACAAACACCCAUUCAAGUCAACGGUGUUUUGCCUGGGCGAAGGCUGGGGGUUUGGCCCCAUGGUUGUCGCUGCAACUGGGCAUCAGCAGAAAGGGAUUUACCACAGCACCAAGCCCCAGCACUGUGUCCUGGCUCCCCUACAGCCCCAAACACGGUACAGCCACCAACCCUUGUCCCUGCAUUGCCAUCCAUGGGGACAGCCACCGUGCCCCUGUCCUGCCUAUGGGAGGACAUAGCCCGUAAGGAAGGAACAUCCAGAAAAUAAUAGAAAUGUAACAACGAAAAAGGAAAGUGGGCCCGUUUUUAUUUGCUUGUUUUGGCCGUAUCAUAGCUCAGCCCUUCCUCGCCAUCGUGGUUCAAUAUUUACUGAUCGAAAGUAUAGACCGGCUGCGAGGCACAGAGAUAGCGAUUAUCAUCAGAAAGCAACGGGCACUAAAAGAAUGGCUCUUCCAUUUCCAGAAUGUAAAACAGACAUUCAGAAGAACAAACAGAGCAGGGAAGAAACGACGGUCAUUUGCAAGUAAAAUAUUACCAAACAAUAUAACAUUGGAUUAACUGUUUCAUGUAUUUAUUGUGGAGGAAUAUAUAGGACUUUACAUGAGAAACUCGCGGUACAAGCAAGAAACAAAGCAGCCUUUUGAACAGCCGCCUUUUAACUUCGGAGCUCCUGUGCAUGCAGCACAAGGGCUGCUCCCACCGAAGCAGCAGCUCUGAUUGAGUUCAGGAUUGGGCCCCAUGGUUUUAAACUUUCCUCCUGCAACGUCCCUUUUGGUAACAUUGCAAGCCCCCCAGCCUAGGUACAUCGAUGUGCUUUAGACAGGAACGUGUGAGAUGGCAAAAAGGCAGCAAAGAUGCACUGUGGGGCUGAUGCUGAAGACUGCAAGAAAAGGAGAAAAGAAAGAAAAGGAGGAGAGGAUAAAGGGAAAGCAACACGCAGGGAGUCCAAUCCUGCACCAGUGAGAAGCAAAGCACUGAGCCUGCAGCACGGCAGUGCGCUGGGUGCACUGGACAUGACCUGCCCCCAUUUCUGCCCUUUGUUACGGUGUGCUGGGAAUGCUGGAGUGCAGGGUGUGCUGCUCGGGGCCACACUGUACUCCUUGGAGCUGUGGGGUUCCAAACAUUGGGGCGGCUCUACGCUCUGCCUUUAUACAUUUUCUCCCUUCUGGCGUUGUCUGAAAUGCUCACAUAACUCCUGCGAAUUGCUAUGUGAAUUUGUGGCUACUUCACGACUUUUUCGUAAGCUCAGCAACAUGUCAAACUGUGCCUGGGUCCCAUUGUAGAGGGCAGAACCUGUGCAGAAACAGCAACACAAAAAGAGCCGCAGUGCUCGGGCUGAUCACUUCUCCCUGCAAGCACAACAGCCAGCCACUGGGAUAAGGAAAGCACAGCAUCAGAGAUGCACCAGAUCAGAGCGAGAGGUUUCGGGCUGGGUUAGCACAACCUUUGCUCUGCUUGAUACCGGGGGCCGGGCUGGGUGACUCAAGGAGUUGUCUGCAAGUCCGUCUGUGUUCUGUGCACAGAGAACAGCUGUAUUUAUUUGAGGUGCUCAAUUUCUCCAUGUAAGCACACUCUGUCAUAAUUAAGUGAUUGUCUAAGCUUUUAAGCUGCUCGGAAGCAGAUUCUGAAGUCCUGCUUUACUGUCAGCUUCAUACAUGUGGAAUUCCUAUGGAACCCAAGGGCACAGGCAUGGGUAACUUUGAUUCUGGGAAUUCUUACUGCUGGAGCAGGAAAAAGCUGAAAGAAAGGAGUCCUUAAACAAGAAAACCAUCAGCAGGACUGAGACUCUAAUAUGUGGUAAUAGCACUAAUGACCUCAUUCAUGUUCAGCCACAUACAUGUGGGGUUUUGCUCCUCGAUGUGAACACAGUCAUACGGAGCUGUGUUUUCACAGCUCAGCCUCCCAAGCCCCAUCCUGCUGCCACUGAAAGCCAUGGCAGAGCUCCCAGCUUCUCCACUGCUAUCAGAUUAGCUUCGUUUCAUGGGCUGAAGCGAUCUAAUAGAUACCAGGUGGCCCUGGUAGAGCCUGUGUGGUCUACAAGUAAGUGAAACAUAUUUUAAGAAGUCAAAUAUGAAACAGCUACAUCACAGAACCUGCAAUAACCCCAGCUGGUAUUAUUAUCUAUGGAGGACACGAUCAGUAUCUAAAAUGUAACUCCAUAUAUAUUUAUAUGAUACAUCCUACAACAGCCGUGUUCUGAGGUAAACUCAGCUGCAUGUUAAACCACUGCAGAAACAGAUCCAUAUUUACGCUCAUUUCCACAAGAACACAUAGCUCUCGUGUGUUUUCACUUAAGAGAAAGAACCCAAAACAACCUUAAAUUAAUCCAGAAAUCCACUUUAAAUAUGUGAGUGGGUGUGUAAAAGGACCUACAGAAGUAAAGGCUGCAUGUGAACUGCCCUGGCUGCCGCUGCGACACUUAGCUCACCCACUGCUCCAUGUCAUGACCCCGUGCUGUGAAAUCCAUACGUGCUCCAGCAGUACAAACUGGAGGGAGAUGGGGCAGUACCUGGGCAGCACUGUGCCAUAUAUACAUAUAUCCUGUGCAAUGGGUGCUGCUGGAAAUGGAUGAAGACUUCCUCGGUGCUCUCUGCUGGUGUGGAGGUGGGGCUCAGCCCAGGUCAGGUGAAGCUCUCUGUGCUCUGCUCUGCAGCAAUGGGUGGGAAGCGCCCUGCCCACCCCAGGGCCUCACCCUGAUUCACAGCACGUGUGGAGAGUGAGCUCAGUGCUGCUUGGUUUGCCCAUAUGAGCUCCCACCAUGGCUCAGUGACCCAGGAACAUGGGGGAGAUUCCAAGCAAAGCUCAGCCCACUCCAUGGAACCACCCCAAAAAAAUCAAAGCGACUGAUCAUUUUUCCAAUCCAGUUAAAGAUUCUCAGACGUGAUGAGGUCUACCAUGGUUCCAACCCAGAGGGGAUGUCUGCUGUGCUAUUUGCAUGCUGGGGCUUGGCUCUUCUGCUCUGCUCUUCCCUUGUAGUUCCCCAUCCAUAAGAGAUGGAUGCUCCAUCCCUGGAGACAUCCAAGGUCAGGCUGAAUGGGGCUCUGAGCAACCUGAUCUACCUGCAGGUGUCCCUGUUCAUUGCAGGGGAGUAAUCAGCAUUUCAUUUGGUACCCAAAAACGCAGUGCUAUCUCCUCUCUUAUCUGCUACCAGCCGUCCUCUUUCGUCAUGGAUUCGUCUCCUUAAGAAGUUCAAAUACACGCACUUUCCCGAUGAAGAUCUUGGAAAGUACGUUCAGAAGUAGCCUAUUUUAACAUUAAUCACGUUUAACAAGACUUUUACCAGAGCGGGGAGAACGCGGAACUAAUCGUUGGAAGAGCUGGUCAAGUUUAUUGCAAUGGGGAACUGUCGGGCAAUUAUGAUUUAUAUAUUCGGGGGGAGAUAAGACGGGUAUUGUUCUCCGGUGAGAGGGGGAAAAAAAAGAAGGAAACAAGAAAACCAGGGCUGGUCUCGAAGUUAAUGGCAGUUCCUUCCCGUGCUCUUUUCACAACGGAGGGGAAAUGGUUAUGGUUAAAAGGCGGGGGGAAGAGGGAAAAAGGAGAGAGAAAAAGGACCAAGGGAUCUGCCCCGUUAACGCCGCAGCUCCCCGCGUCCCUGUAGUGCUCUCCUGGGGAGAAGCCGAGCACAGCCCGGCGCGGUCUCGUCCCGCACAUCGGGAAAGCGCUCCGAGGGGCACCGGGAUGCGGCCGCCCCCCUCCUCCCCCCCCGCCCCGCUCCAGGGUUGUUGUGCUGCUGCUGCUGCCCGCUGCGCUCCGAACAGCCC